rnacentral:siRNA from 1 species
GCACUGCCAAAUAUGCUGUCACC